rnacentral:tRNA from 3 species
GGGGACAUAGUUUAAUUGGUAAAACUACGACUUUGCAAGUCGUUAUCUCAGGUUCGAUUCCUGAUGUCUCCA